rnacentral:siRNA from 1 species
GAUUUAACAGUUUACCGCCAAAA